UCCUUAUCAAGAGCGAUGGAGGGAAUAGGCCCUAUGAAGUCCAGCAACCGGUAUUGCACGGUGCUAAAUCCUACAGGUAUGGAUACCUGGAAGAUGAGGU
rnacentral:ncRNA from 2 species